UAAAAGGGUUGGUUGGCUAAAUAUGCCAUGCUAGCCUUGUGUUAAGGCUAGUGCUGUAUGGCUAUCAAGACAUAUGGCCGACACAAUUUCUGGAACUUUCACAGGGUUGGCCCCAUUGGCCGACCCUCCA
rnacentral:snRNA from 1 species